AAUUUUCGAUUGGAGAAAUGGGAGAUCGAGGAAGAGGUAUUCCUAAGAUAUGUAGAUGUGGAGAAGCUGUGGUAAUGAGGACAGCAAAUACUGCUAGAAAUCCUGGACGAUUGUUUCAUUCUUGUCCUCAUGGGAGAGAAGGGGACUGGUUUCACACGUUUAAAUGGACUGAUGUUAGUGUUUAUGAGGAGAUGGAAGAUAUGAUUGAAAAAGUGGAAACCAUUGAAGGUGAUUCAAUGAUGUUUCAAAAGAGACUUAAUAAAUGUGAAAACGAGAUUGAGAAUCUGGAAAUGGAUACCCGUGUGUGCGAAGCUGUGGUUGAGAAGGAGAUCCAAGAAUGCAAAAUGCAGCUCCGGAGCUUGAAGAACAUUCUCGGAUUUGUGUUAGUGAUCAUUCUGUUUUUCAAGUUUAUCUUUUAAGUAUGAGUAUUGUGUUGUGUUUGUAGUUGUAGUAAGACUUAUUGGUGUGUCUCAAUGGUGUUUGUAAGUGUAGUAAAACUAAUGAUGUAUUUGUAGUUUUCUUGUAAAACUGAUGAUUCUCGUGUUCCCUUUUAAUGGUGUUUAUGCUUGAACCUAAGAAACUUUUAAUUAUAUCACAACUCUGAUACGAAGUCGAAAACCAAGCAUUUGGAUUAUAAAUUUGUCAUUACAAUAUUCAUAAAAAACAACAAAUGACAACGACCUAUGGCUAAUGCUUCACUCCACCACAGAAACAACUAAACGAAGCUGCCAAAACCCAAGUUCAAAAAGCUCCAUGCCUCCGUCACAAACCAAAAGUUGAGCUUCAUGACUCCACCACAAACCACCUAAAUAUUUUUUUU